AAUACUUGGUGACGACCGGCGCGACGGGUGAGUAACGCGUAUGCUAACCUACCUAUCAGAGGGGAAUAACCCGGCGAAAGUCGGACUAAUACCGCAUAAAACAGGGGCACCGCAGUGGUGAUAUUUGUUAAAGAAAUUCGCUGAUAGAUGGGCAUGCGUUCCAUUAGGUAGUUGGUGAGGUAACGGCUCACCAAGCCGACGAUGGAUAGGGGAACUGAGAGGUUGGUCCCCCACACUGGUACUGAGACACGGACCAGACUCCUACGGGAGGCAGCAGUGAGGAAUAUUGGUCAAUGGGCGGGAGCCUGAACCAGCCAAGUCGCGUGAAGGAAAGAAGGAUCUAUGGUUCGUAAACUUCUUUUGCAGGGGAAUAAAGUGCAGGACGUGUCCUGUUUUGUAUGUACCCUGAGAAUAAGGAUCGGCUAACUCCGUGCCAGCAGCAGC
rnacentral:rRNA from 1 species